rnacentral:rRNA from 1 species
CCCUUAGAUGUUCGGGGCCGCACACGCGCUACAUUGAAUGGAUCAACGUGCGUCUAGCCUUGCCCGAAAGGGCUGGGAAACCCGUUGAAACCCAUUCGUGAUAGGGAUUGGGGCUUGCAAUUAUUUCCCAUAAACGAGGAAUUCCUAGUAAGCGCGAGUCAUCAGCUCGCGUUGAUUGCGUCCCUGCCCUUUGUACACACCGCCCGUCGCUACUACCGAUCGUUCCAGUUAAUGAACGCCUUGGAUUGGUCCCGUAAGCGGGGAAACCUGCUCGCGGUUGUGCCGAGAGGAAGUGUAAGUUAUCUGGGAUAGAGGUCGUAAAAGUCGUAACA